UACGUAGGUCCCGAGCGUUGUCCGGAUUUAUUGGGCGUAAAGCGAGCGCAGGUGGUUUAUUAAGUCUGGUGUAAAAGGCAGUGGCUCAACCAUUGUAUGCAUUGGAAACUGGUAGACUUGAGUGCAGGAGAGGAGAGUGGACUUCCAUGUGUAGCGGUGAAAUGCGUAGAUAUAUGGAGGAACACCGGUGGCGAAAGCGGCUCUCUGGCCUGUAACUGACACUGAGGCUCGAAAGCGUGGGGAGCAAACAGG
rnacentral:rRNA from 1 species